rnacentral:rRNA from 1 species
GACGAACGCUGGCGGCGUGCUUAACACAUGCAAGUCGAACGGAAAGGCCCUGCUUUUGUGGGGUGCUCGAGUGGCGAACGGGUGAGUAACACGUGAGUAACCUGCCCUUGACUUUGGGAUAACUUCAGGAAACUGGGGCUAAUACCGGAUAGGAGCUCCUGCUGCAUGGUGGGGGUUGGAAAGUUUCGGCGGUUGGGGAUGGACUCGGGGCUUAUCAGCUUGUUGGUGGGGUAGUGGCUUACCAAGGCUUUGACGGGUAGCCGGCCUGAGAGGGUGACCGGCCACAUUGGGACUGAGAUACGGCCCAGACUCCUACGGGAGGCAGCAGUGGGGAAUAUUGCACAAUGGGCGGACGCCUGAUGCAGCAACGCCGCGUGCGGGAUGACGGCCUUCGGGUUGUAAACCGCUUUCGCCUGUGACGAAGCGUGAGUGACGGUAAUGGGUAAAGAAGCACCGGCUAACUACGUG